UGCAACUGCUUCUUGGACGUUUCCUCCCUAAACUCAGCGGUGCUUGUGCACCGCUUUUUUUUGUCCUGU
rfam:Komagataeibacter medellinensis NBRC 3288 DNA, complete genome.